UGCAAGCAGAACUGGUAGCUGUAGCAGUCGAAAACCUGCACAAUUGUGGCCAGGAAUGAAUUCGUCUAACCAUUUAUGGUAUCCCACUUAUAACUGUCUGUUAGCAUUUAACGCUUCGAUUUAGUGAUAUAGCUACAAGGGGACCUAGAAAGAGCUUACAGUCAGCAUCCAGGUGGCAUUGGGGCGUUGGAUUUCACAUAUCUAUGGUUGAAAGUACACCCAUCGUGCAUAUCAACGUUAUGAUCUCUCUUGAGAAGGAACUUGAUACUACCGCUGAUGGGGCAGUCUGCUCCAGCAUACGGGCACUUGUAGCGAUGAUACCUACAAUUCUGUGUGUGCCUCUCAAUCUGCCAUGAUACAGGAAAAUAUCCCGACACCCAAGAAUCUGGUACUUGCAUGGAAGUUCACGUGAUUCUGCUACUCGUUCCAACGCCAUGCAUCUUACGUUCCCAGGUUCGUCACGACAAAUUGGGCAACACUGCGCCUUCGAUUGGCUCUUGGAGCAUAAGACUGAACCUUCCACCAGAAGCAUGAAUCUACCAUUUAACGAACGGAAUUCUCUAAACCACAGCCAUCCAUCCCUCAUAGUUGUGAUUUGUGAAUUAUCAUCGCCAUAGAAGCUGCCGCACACUUUAUUAAAGCAACAAUGUGACAUGGUCACAGGCACGGGAAUCACAGGGGUGGGGUAUAUUUAAUUGUUGAGGUCGAAAACAUGAGGCUACAAAGAGGAUCGCCAAAAAAGGAUAACGUAAAUAAUAGGUCAGCUGGUAAAAGUGAAAGCUGAAGGGUGGUUACAGAUGUUUGAGGAGGGGAAAACUAGCAUAAACGGUGUAUGAGCACAAGACAGGGAUUCUAUUUUCCUUAAAAAGGAUUUGUAUUUACUACACCACAUCUGAUCGAAUG